UUUCCUUGAGUUACAUACAGAAGAAGGGAAGCUUUCAGAAGUCUUUAUAGUUUUGGAUGGUCUUAGAAGCAUAUGUUCAAACCUCUUCAGAGGUGUGACAAAAGCAAGCGUAGACGUAUCUGAGCUAGUUUUUAGCUAGCAAUAACUUCAUAGGGAAGCCCGCCUGCGACGCUGGGUACAUAUUCAAGCAGCUAGCUUGUGCUGCUUACUGUGGCUUAUUGCUAUUGUUACAUGUCACAACAUGCUGCAGUCACACCUCUGACUGCAGUGCAGACAUACCCUAUGAACCGAUAUUCACCUGUAACUAGGAGAAGGAACUAUAUAUCUGAGAAAGUUGAAAGGGAGAGGAAAUUUUUGUACAGUUUAAGUUUAUAUUGGACCACAAUGAGGAUCCAGUUAUACAGGAGGCUGCUGCUCUUCUGUUUUUCUGGAUAAUAUCAACUGUAAAACCUGGUUAACUAACCAUCAAAGUGGAAGAAGUGAUUGUGCUGGUUCAAGCGAGGUCUGCCUUCUGCUACUGCCACAGCUGAAGAAACCCAAGUGAAAGUGUUUGCACCUUGCUUUUAUACCCAUGCUUCCAGACAGACCCUCUUCAUGUCUAGAGAAGCCUUGCACAGAUUUACUUGUCCAAGUAGCCCAGAGCAAGUAAAUUUUAGUUUAGAAGGGGAAGUCAAAUGAUCAUCAUCAUAAAGAGCAGGAGGCUCUUCAGAAUCCAACUCGGCACUUUAAACUCACUCAUCAUUUACUCACCUAGCUUCCAUGUUUCCAACCACACGCAAGUAGUUCUUGUGACGACGGAUUCUACGCUGAACCUCAUGGAACAAAUAACGCAGCUGCAUAAAAAUCACCAGGCUGGCCAUCGACAACCAGAUAUUGCCAAACAGCUUUAAAACAAAACAAAACGGUGCUCAGAAGUGAAUACCAAGAUGCUAAAGAGAAGAACUGAAAAAUAUCAGAAAAUGCAAUAUACAUCGUACAAGUCACUAGAGUGUUCCAGUCUGAAGGGCUCAGAAAAUUCCAAUCUGGCUGUUCCAGAAAAACCCAAACCAUUAUCAGCUGUUCCACCCUCAGACAUGAGAACUUUGUUUUCAGAGAAACAUCUACCCAGCCUUUACAACCUGAGGAGGGAGGAAAACUUCAGUUAGAAGAUUAUUUCUGCCAAUGGGCAUUGGAUCAGGCUCUUAAGAGCAGGAAGAAAGAUCUAAAUACAGAGAUAAACCAAUAUUA